rnacentral:ncRNA from 1 species
UGAGCGCACACCGUCUCGGCUUUCCCGCAGAUGUGUUGGGGUGAAACGGGAAGUCGGUGAUAUUCCGACGCUGCCCCCGCAACGGUGAUCGAGUUAAAUACGGCCCAUGAACGCCACUGUGUACUGCAUGACAGUCACGGGAAGGUGGUCGUAUCCAACACCCUGUGUUGACUCGUCAGCCCGGAGACCGGCCUGAGAUUCCAUGCCAGG